rnacentral:rRNA from 1 species
CAAGGUUUCUGGAAUGAGCCAUGGCCGAAAUCUAUAUGGCCUUUGGAUUGGACUGCGGCCGAUCAGGCUGUUGGUGAGGUAAUGGCCCACCAAACCUGUUACCGGUACGGGCUUUGAGAGAAGUAGCCCGGAGAUGGGCACUGAGACAAGGGCCCAGGCCCUAUGGGGCGCAGCAGGCGCGAAACCUCUGCAAUAGGCGAAAGCCUGACGGGGUUACUCUGAGUGAUGCCCGCUAAGGGUAUCUUUUGGCACCUCUAAAAAUGGUGCAGAAUAAGGGGUGGGCAAGUCUGGUGUCAGCCGCCGCGGUAAUACCAGCACCCCGAGUUGUCGGGACGAUUAUUGGGCCUAAAGCAUCCGUAGCCUGUUCUACAAGUCCUCCGUUAAAUCCACCUGCUCAACAGAUGGGCUGCGGGGGAUACUAUAGGGCUAGGAGGCGGGAGAGGCAAACGGUACUCAGUGGGUAGGGGUAAAAUCCAUUGAUCUACUGAAGACCACCAGUGGCGAAGGCGGUUUGCCAGAACGCGCUCGACGGUGAGGGAUGAAAGCUGGGGGAGCAAACCGGAUUAGAUACCCGGGUAGUCCCAGCUGUAAACGAUGCAGACUCGGUGAUGGGUUGGCUUCGCGCCAACCCAGUGCCGCAGGGAAGCCGUUAAGUCUGCCGCCUGGGGAGUACGGUCGCAAGACUGAAACUUAA